rnacentral:rRNA from 1 species
UACGUAGGGUGCGAGCGUUAAUCGGAAUUACUGGGCGUAAAGCGUGCGCAGGCGGUUUUGUAAGCCAGGUGUGAAAUCCCCGGGCUCAACCUGGGAAUGGCAUUUGGGACUGCAAGGCUGGAGUGCGGCAGAGGAGACUGGAAUUCCUGGUGUAGCAGUGAAAUGCGUAGAUAUCAGGAGGAACACCGAUGGCGAAGGCAGGUCUCUGGGCUGACACUGACGCUCAUGCACGAAGGCGUGGGGAGCGAUCCGG